rnacentral:ribozyme from 12 species
AUGAAGCAACAACAGACAACAACAAUUCAUGAAAACUACGGAAAUUCACGUGCCGCUUCGCGUGUUCCUUCCACCAUUUCUUUCUUUCUUUCUUUCUUUUUUUU